GGCCCAUUGGUCAAGUGGUUAAGACACCGCCCUUUCACGGCGGUAACAGGGGUUCGAAUCCCCUAUGGGUCA
rnacentral:tRNA from 3 species